GCCUGGAUAGCUCAGGUGGUUAGGGCAUGAUGCUGAUAACACCAGGGUUGCAGGUUUGAUCCCUGUGUGGGGCA
rnacentral:tRNA from 1 species